UACGUAGGGUGCAAGCGUUGUCCGGAAUUAUUGGGCGUAAAGAGCGCGUAGGCGGGUCUUUAAGUGAGGGGUGAAAGGUUCAGGGCUCAACCCGAACACUGCCUUUCAUACUGGGGACCUUGAGUGCGGGAGAGGCGAGUGGAAUGGUCGGUGUAGCGGUGAAAUGCGUAGAUAUCGAUCGGAACACCCAUGGCGAAGGCAGCUCGCUGGCCUGCAACUGACGCUGAGGCGCGAAAGCGUGGGGAGCAAACAGG
rnacentral:rRNA from 1 species